rnacentral:rRNA from 1 species
UACGAAGGGGGCUAGCGUUGCUCGGAAUCACUGGGCGUAAAGGGUGCGUAGGCGGAAUGAUAAGUCAGUGGUGAAAUCCUGCAGCUUAACUGCAGAACUGCCAUUGAUACUGUCAAUCUUGAGUACAUUUGAUGUGGGCGGAAUGUGUCAUGUAGCGGUGAAAUGCUUAGAUAUGACACAGAACACCGAUUGCGAAGGCAGCUCACAAAACUGUAACUGACGCUGAGGCACGAAAGCGUGGGUAUCAAACAGG